rnacentral:rRNA from 1 species
AACGCGAAGAACCUUACCUGGGUUUGAAGAAGUUGAGGGGGCGAAACCUUCCGCAAGGGACAGCUGGAGGUGCUGCAUGGCUGGAGCGUGGUGAGAUGUUGGGUUAAGCCGCAACGAGCGCAACCCUUGCUUAGUUGCUACGCAAGAGCACUAAGGAGACUGCCGGUGACAAACCGGAGGAAGGUGGGGAUGACGAAGCAUGGCCCUUAUGGGUAGGGCUACACGAUACAAUGGGGAACAGAGGGUUGCCAACCCGCGAGGGGGAGCUAACCAGAAAACCGAGUAGCGGAUUGCACUGCAACGAGUGCAUGAAGCUGGAAGCUAGUAAGCGGAAGCAUGCCGCGGUGAAUACGUCCGGGUUGUACACACCG